CUAUAUUCAAGAUGAUAAGCGACCGAACAAUGAGCUAAUCAUCAAAGACGGUGAAACGUGCCUCACCAGGGAGGACAUGCAAACUUUAGGACUGCAGAAGAACUUGGAUUCAAUGACUGAAAAUGCUUGCUUGCGCCUUGUGCAGGAGAUGACACAGAUGCAGGGGAAAUCUGUUCACAUAGUGGACCUGCAUAAACCCCCAACAUGGCUACCACCCCAUGGCUGCGACCCUUUCCUCUCACUUCCUGUUUGUUCUCUCUUUUUUUUUAGCCUCAGUUAAGCAAACAUUACAUAGUAAAAUGUGCAAAGGAUAGCAGGGAAAUUGCAAUGUUAAUUUUGCAUAUUCAUUAGGUCGACUCACAUGGAUUGGAUGCCCUCAUUAUUCCUCUCUGGAUUCCGGCGCAUUACCUUCUGUGUAUAAGUUUCAUUUUAGAUUGAUUUACUUGGCGUACUAAGUAUACAUGAAGUGAUGAAUUUAGUGUACAGAAUCCUAUCAACUAUUGUACUGGACUAACAAUGUUUUGUAAUGACUGCAUUUUGGUUGUUGUGCCAAUGAGUUUCAAAGCCCAAGUUAUUCUAUAACGUACCUAAAAUGCAUAUGUCCCCCAGGUUAUGAAGCCUUUACAGAGAGAGAUUCUGUAUCUUGACUCUUACUAUCACAUGAAACAACAGGGUUUUGGACAUGACAGUUAUCGCAGUCUUUUAAGGCAAUGGUUGUGUUCAAUUUCAAUUCAAUUCAAUUUUAUUUAUAAAGCCCAAUAUCACAAAUCACAAUUUGCCUAACAGGGCUUUACAGCAUACGACAUCCCUCUGUCCUUAAGACCCUCACAGCGGAUAAGGAAAAACUCCCCAAAAAAAACCCCUUUAACGGGGAAAAAAAACCAGUAGAAACCUCAGGAAGAGCAACUGAGGAGGGAUCCCUCUUCCAGGACGGACAGACGUGCAAUAGAUGUCGUACAGAACAGAUCAGCAUAAUAAAUUAACAGUAAUCCAUAUGACACAAUGAGACAGAGAGAGAGAGAGAGAGAGAGAGAGAGAGAGAGAGAGAGAGAGAGAGAUGCAGGUAAUGACAGUAGCUUACAACAACAUUAAUGAAAGUAAUAAUAUUAUAGUUAUAGUUCUGGUUACUGCGGUACAAUAUGUUGAAAGUAUGUAUUAAUACCUGGCAGUAUACAUGUGUGACAAUAAUCAUAUGUGUAUAAUAACAGAAGAAGUAUGACUAAUGACUAAUGAUGGCAGCAGCAGCAGGAGGCAUCUGGCGGGACCACGGCAGCAGCACAACCACACACGUCACGCUGUCCAGGCACC